GACGAACGCNGGCGGCGUGCUUAACACAUGCAAGUCGAACGAAGAGCGAUGGAAGCUUGCUUCUAUCAAUCUUAGUGGCGAACGGGUGAGUAACGCGUAAUCAACCUGCCCUUCAGAGGGGGACAACAGUUGGAAACGACUGCUAAUACCGCAUACGAUCUAAUCUCGGCAUCGAGGAUAGAUGAAAGGUGGCCUCUACAUGUAAGCUAUCACUGAAGGAGGGGAUUGCGUCUGAUUAGCUAGUUGGAGGGGUAACGGCCCACCAAGGCGAUGAUCAGUAGCCGGUCUGAGAGGAUGAACGGCCACAUUGGGACUGAGACACGGCCCAGACUCCUACGGGAGGCAGCAGUGGGGAAUCUUCCGCAAUGGACGAAAGUCUGACGGAGCAACGCCGCGUGAGUGAUGACGGCCUUCGGGUUGUAAAGCU
rnacentral:rRNA from 1 species